rnacentral:rRNA from 1 species
AAAGCUCAAAUUUUGAAUCUGGCGGUCUUCAGGCCGUCCGAGUUGUAAUCUAGAGAAGCGUCUUCCGCGCUGGACCGUGUAUAAGUUUCCUGGAAUGGAACGUCGUAGAGGGUGAGAAUCCCGUCUUUGACACGGACUGCCAGGGCUAUGUGAUGCGCUCUCGACGAGUCGAGUUGUUUGGGAAUGCAGCUCAAAUAGGGUGGUAAAUUCCAUCUAAAGCUAAAUACAGGCGAGAGACCGAUAGCGAA